rnacentral:rRNA from 1 species
AGCGAACGCUGGCGGCAGGCCUAACACAUGCAAGUCGAACGAACUCUUCGGAGUUAGUGGCGGACGGGUGAGUAACACGUGGGAAGGGGCCUUUGGGUCGGGAAUACCUAGGGGAAACUUGUGCUAUUACGGAAUGUGCCCUUGGGGGGAAAGAUUUAUCGCAAUUAGAGCGGCCCGCGUCUGAUUAGCUAGUUGGUGAGGUAACGGCUCACCAAGGCGAGGAUCAGUAGCUGGUCUGAGAGGAUGACCAGCCACACUGGGACUGAGACACGGCCCAGACUCCUACGGGAGGCAGCAGUGGGGAAUCUUGCGCAAUGGGCGAAAGCCUGACGCAGCCAUGCCGCGUGAAUGAUGAAGGUCUUAGGAUUGUAAAAUUCUUUCAACGGGGACGAUAAUGACGGUACCCGGAGAAGAAGCCCCGGCUAACUUCGUG